rnacentral:rRNA from 1 species
CUUAGUACGAGAGGACCGGGAUGGACAUACCUCUGGUGUACCUGUUGUCGCGCCAGCGGCACCGCAGGGUAGCUAUGUAUGGAACGGAUAACCGCUGAAAGCAUCUAAGUGGGAAACCGGCCUUAAAACAAGAAAUCUCCAUUAAACCCGCAGAAGACCACUGCGUUGAUAGGCAGGAUGUGCAAGCGCCGCGAGGCGUUCAGCUUACCUGUACUAAUAGGUUGAUUGACUUAUAGCG